rnacentral:lncRNA from 1 species
CGAUACCAUCGAUCCUAUUAUGUUGGAAAAUCUUGUCGUUGUGGCGCUGCGACAUCCAAAAGGCGACGCCUUUGCGAGAGAGGGGAAAAGGCGACAAUGGCGUUGCCUUUUUAAUUUCUUUUAAAAAAAUUAGGGCUUUAGGGAUAAAAGCUAAUUUUAGGGCUUAUUUUCCUAUUUUGGCUCUACCAACUUACUCAUUUGGCGCCUGUGGCUACUACCAUUACCAUCUCACAAGUUCGAUGUCGAUUUCGACAACUGGCAUUAGCUACUCCGGAGACUCCAGCUACUCCGGUAAGGAUUGAUUUCUAUUAUUUUUUUCUUUUUUCUUUUUCUUCUUAAUCCGACGAUUGAACUCUAGCUACUUUUUUUUCUUUUUUUCUCUUCUAUUUUUCUUCCUUUGAAACAGUAAUACAGUGUUACACUGUCACUAUAACAAUACAAUAACACACCUAGUAUAUUCCAACCAAGUGGGGUCUGGGGAGGGUAAGUGUACCCAGUCAUAUCACUACCUCAAAUAUGAGAUAGAGAGGUUGUUUUCGAUAGACCCCCGGCUCAAAAUAAAGCAAUCUAAGAUAAUAUAAGGAAUAGUAAUAGAACAAGAUACAAUUGAAAUUAAUAUAUUCAAUAAUAUCAAAAGCAAGAUACUCUAAGUAUACACCAAAACAUACAACAUCCUAAUUCAGACUAACCUUCUACACUAAUUCCCCUCCUCCACAACAACUUUCUAUCCAGGGUCAUGUCCUCGAUAAGCUAAAUAUGCUCCAUGUCAUGUCUAAUCACCUCCCUCCAAUAUUUCUUCGGUCUACCUCUACCUUGCUUGAAAUCAUCCCUAGCCAACCUCUCACACCUCCGCACUAGGGCAUCCGUGCUCCUCCGCAUCACAUGACCGAACCAUCUCAACCUCGUUUCCCUCAUCUUAACUUCCACUGAAGCCACUCCCACCUUAUCUCGAAUAACCUCAUUUUUAAUUCUAUCUUUUCUAGUACACCCACAUAUCCACUGAAGCAUCUCAUCUCCGCCACCUUCAUCUUCUGGAUGUGGGUUUUCUAACAGGCCAACACUCCGCCCCAUACAACACUGUCACUGUAACAGUAAGCAUAAAUGUAUUAUGUACAAAAAUCUUUAGUUUAACAACUUAUAUAACAUAGUAUGAUAGUAAUAUACUAAUUAAAUGACUUGAUCAUUUACAACUAUUUCAAUUUUAAUGGCGUUUUCGUAUUGCUUGUUUUAUGGAUAUUGAAUUGUUGAGUUAUUCAAGUUCUGGACUUUUAGUAUCUAUCUACUAUCUAUUUUUAAUUCUUGACUUGAAAUAUUUUCUAAUCUAUUAGCGGUAUUGAAAUUUUAAUCAUUUAUAUAUUAUUUUAAUUUUUUGUAUUAAUUAUCGCCGCACUUCAAAAGGCGAUCGCCUCGCCGCAUGGCGGGACCGUCGCCUCUUAUCGCCUUUCGCCGUCCAAAACACAUACCACCUAUAUUGCUUUGAUUCCGAAGAAGGAAAGUGCAAAAGAAUUGAAAGAUUUUAGACCAAUAAGCUUGAUAGGCAGUUUCUAUAAGUAAUUGUCUAAAGUUGACUGAGAGAAUUAAAGGAGUGAUGGAUAAAUUGGUAGACUCACAACAAAUGGCUUUUAUCAGAGGCAUGCAAAUCAUGGAUGUUGUGCUAAUAGUAAAUGAAGCUGUAGAUUCAAGAUUGAUCCUAAAAAAAGCCUAGAAUUUUGUGCAAACUGGACAUUGAAAAAACGUACCAUGAUGUUAAUUGGGAGUUAUUUCUAAAUAUCCUAAGAAUAAUGAGUUUUGGGGAUAAGUGGAUCAGAUGAAUAAGCUUUUGUAUCUCAACUGUGAAAUUUUUUGUUCUUAUUAACGGAGCCCCAGAAGGUUUUUUCGAAGCACAAAGAGGAAUCACAAGGGAUCCUUUAUGUCCUUUCUUUUUCAUCUUUCAUGGAGGGUCUGAACAACAUCCUCAAGACAACAAAAGCAAAUAGAUGGAUCACUGGUUUUGAGGUAUCCACAAACAAUGAGAGGAGUCUAAAGGUGACACGUCUUCAAUAUGCAGAUGACACUAAUUUUUUGUGAUGCAAAUGAGGAGCAACUACAAUAUUUAAGGGUCAUUCUGGUACUAUUUAAAGGUAUUUCAGGUCCACAUCAAUUGGGGAAAGAGCCACCUAUGUCCUGUAAACUCCGUUCCUAACAUGAAUGAGUUGACAUCUGUGUUAGGCGGUGACGUAGGAGUAUUGCGCUCUAUUUAUCUCGGGAUGCCUUUUGGGGCAAAGUCAAAUUCUUAACAUAUUUGGGACUCAGUUUUGGAGAAAUGUGAGAAGAAGUUAACUAGAUGGAAGGCACAAUAAUGGUCCAUGGGGGCAGGCUUACACUGAUCAAUGCAGUCCCGGAUGCCCUCCCCACUUACAUGCUAACUUUAUUUCCAAUCCCUACAGGUGUAGUACAAAGUCUGGACACACUCAGAAGGGAUUUUUUCUGGCAAGGUAACAAGAAAAGAAAAGGUUUUAAAGUGGAAAAGUAUUGAUUACUGGGAAAAAACAAAGAGGUCUAGGCAUUAAAACUUGAAAAAUCAAAGCAAGGCACCAAAAUUGAAGUGGUUAUGGAGAUAUAGUCACGAACCACAACCAUUGUGCUGCAAGGUGACCAACAUGAAGUAUGGAGAAAUGAAUUCUUGGGUUAUUGAAGAAGUACACAACCCAUAUGGUGUAACAGUAUGGAGAUCAAUCAGGAAUUGGUGGACUUUUCUAAAAAGUCACACCCUCAUCAGAGUCAAUGAUGGCAACAAAACAAGCUUUUGAAAAUAUAGUUGGUUGGGCAACAGAAGUUUAUUCGAAAUCUUCCCAGAUAUGCUUGACUUGGCACUUCAUAAAGGAAGAUCAAUGGCAGAAAUGUGGUCUCCGCAAGGUUGGAAUAUAUCUCUCAAAAGAAAUCUUAACGACUGGAAGUACAUAGGUUAGUUGAGCAUUUAAAACUGCUGGAAAUAUUCCAAGGGACGAAGGAAGGGGUGGACUGCUAAUGGGGGACUGAACAUAGCAAGAGGGUUUAAAAAGUGAGCUUAGGGUACACAAUCAUGAACUUGGACAUGUCACAGAGCCUGAACUGGUCUUGGUUGCAGAUCUGGAAGGCCAAGAUACCACUCAAGGUGGUAUGUUUCACUUGACUGUUAGCAAAAAAAGUUGGUUUGACGCAUGAGAACUUGAGGAAAAGGGACAUUAUUUUAGUGAUACAUUGUUGCCUUUGUGGGGAAACAGCUAAGACAGUGAGCCAUUUGUUCCUUCAUUGCAGAAUCACCGAUCAAUUAUGGAGGAUUUUCAUCAAUCUCACAGGCAUCCAUCCAAUGGACAAUACCUAGUAAGAUUAAAGCUGGGAAGAAGCAGAGAAGGGAGCAAAGAAUACAGGCUACUAGAGGAUUAUUCCAACAUGCAUUUGGUGGACCAUUUGGAAAGAAAAGAAUUCUAGGAGUUUUGAGGAUAAGAGUAGAUCCUUACAGAAGAUUAAAACAGAUUGUAUUCUGUUACUUUGUUUUUGGUGUACAAAGAGUCCCGUUAUAGAUGCAGAAGUAAUCCUAGAAGUUUUAGAUUCAUUAUAGGACUGAUAUUGUGUUUUUAUGAUUCACUACUUUCUUGUAAGGGUUUUCAGUACUACCUAAGUACUGGUUUUUAAUACAAAAUUGUUACUUCUCAAAAAAAUAAAUUAUAAAUAAGAAGACCCCCCCCCCAAACCACAAAAACUAAAAGAAGAUGCUCACCCAUACAGAAAGUACUCCUGCAGUGAAUCAAUAAAAUCUCACAUGCAAUUUUAUCAUACACACCCAGUAAACUGCAAGAAGAUGAUAACAAGCCAAAACAUCUGUAUUUUAUUAUCUAAAUUGAAUGAGUUCGGCCCUUAAAACACCUAAAGUUCCUCCCUAUCCAUCAUAUCCAACAAAAACAUACCGGGAUACUCCUCUACAUAAUAACAGAUCUAUGAAGCCUUCAAUUCCCACAACCAUCCAAUAAUAGUCCGAUAACUGUCGCACUAUCCAAUGCUGCCCCAAAAAUAUUGAUGAACAGUUCCCACAACUGUCUUGCAGUAGAUGGGCCAGGACAAUUUAAUUUUUUUAUUAAAAAAAACCAGGUAAUUUCAUAUAUUUCUCAAAACAGUACAUAGGCAGUACUAAGCCAUAUUUACAAGAAGCACAUCAAAUCCAUCUAUAUGAUCCUAAAUUGAGUCCAGUACAUCAAUUAGGGAGAUGUGUCAUUUGAGUAUAGCUGAUUACACUAAAAACAUAGUAGCAACAGGCAAUUAAGCUUGACUUUGUGCAUAUUGUUUUCAAUAUUAUCAACACAUCUGAAAUUCCUCUCCUUCCAUAUUGCCCACCAAAUGCUUGCAGGGACAAUUCUCCAUCUUUCUCUACUCUAAGACUGCCUUCCAACUUCUUCCUAACUCUGAAUGGCUUUAGUGAUCUUUCCGGGCAUGACCCAUUACAUGCAUUUGAGGUUAAGGAAUAGCUUCCAGAGCUGAAAAAUUACUUUGCAGUGUAGAAAAAGAUGGUUAAUUGUCUCAGCAGUCUCCCCACAAAAUAGGCACCUUGAACACAAUGGAUCCCUCUCCUCAUUAGGUUGUCUUGAGCCAAAACUGCUUCCUUACCUAAUAACCACACAAAACAAGACACUUUGUAUGGUUAUUUGGGUUUUAGAUUCUUUUCCAAGGUCAAUUACUUGUCACCUGGUUGGGGUGGUUCAAACAGUUAUAAGCACAAUUCACCUUGAAAAUACCCUUCUUGUUGCCCUUCCACCAUAAAGUAUCCAGACCCCCUAUAAGCCAUUGAGUAUACCAAUGGGGUAGUAAAAAUCAGCAACCCUCUGAAUCUCCAAUCAUUUAACUGGCUUCUUAAAAUGAAGUUCAAUCCUUGAGGAGACCAGUGAUCAGCUAUGAAGUUCAAUCCUUGAGGAGACCAGUGAUCAAUUAUGGACUUCUGAUGGUGUGAUACUAAGGUACGAAUGUCUGGAAACAAAUUUUCUAGCCUUUCUGCCUCAUGCCAUACAUCCUUCUAGAAGUCAGUUUAUUCCCAUUUGCCACUUUGAUCCUUGUAUUGUUUUUGAAUUCAUCCCACAAGGAUCUAAUGAACCUCCAUAAGCUUACUCCAUAAGGUGUACCCUUUCAUACUUUGCCCUGAUGAUUUCCUUCCAGUAGGAUUGGUUUUCAGGGCAAAACUUUCACAACCAUCUCAUUCUGAGAGCCUCACUCUGAUAUUUUAGGACAAUUCAACUUUAGACUUAUAAAGUUUACCAGAAUUUUAACUAUGGUUGGUAUGGAAUGAUUGAGUUUUGGAUUAUUCCGGAGGAAACCUUCAAUUAGGAGUUUCGUUUAAAAAAAGGAAGGAAACCUUCAACAAGUGUGUGGGAGGCAAGAGGGGACAAAAAACGACGAGGCUUGCUUCACCAAGGCGAGAAGCGAAGGAAUCGCCUUUUUGAUGUGAAGAGCCAAUAAAUACAAAGAAAAAUCAAAUAUUAAAUUUGCACAUAUAAAUAACUAAAAAUACAAUAUUAACAACAAAUUAAGCAAAAGAAUUAAGUUAUUAAUUAUCAUGCAACAAAAACUGGAAAAACAAAACUGAAAGAAAAAAGUUCAGUAAGAAGAUGCAGAAACUGAAGGAACCCAGAGGUGUAGCCUAGUGGUUCAAUGAAGUAGGCUGAGCACAAUGAGGUCUCAGGUUCAAUUCCCAACUGAGACGAACACUAGGUGAAUUCUUACCAUUUGUUCUAGUCUUGGUGGACAGAGUUGCCUAGUACCUAUUGCUAGUGCAAGGUGGCAGAUAUCCUGUGGAAUUAGUCGAGGUUAGCGCAAGUUGGCCUAGACACCACGGUUAUCAAAAAUAAAUGCAGAAGCAGAGGAUAAAGUCAGAAAACACAGAGGACAAAGGAAGGAAGAAAGAAAGAAGCUGUCGGAAAAUAAAGGAGAAAGAAAAAGAAGAAAAUAGAAAAAGAUGAACCUGAACCCUAGCUUCGACUAUCGUCUGACCGAAAAACAGAGAAAAAAGAAGAGAGAAGGUGCAUAGGAGUAGUAUAACUUAGACUGAAAUCCUAGUUCUCGAGUUGCGAUUGAAAAGUGAUGCUUUGCCUUGCCUUGCGGCCUCGUCGGCCUUUUCAGAUUGCUUCUCACCUCAGAGAAAAAAAGACAAAAACUGUCUACAUCGCCUCACCUCGCCAACAAAACUAAAUUCUUAUAAAUCUAAUAUUGUUCGGUCUUAGACUCUUAAUCUAUUACUAUAAUCCAUAUGAAAGCCACAAAAAUGUUUUAGGGAUUAAAAUGAUGUUUUUUUUUUUCAAAAUAAAACUAGUGCAAGUUCUCCCAACAUAAACAAUUAUUUUAAAGUCAACACUAAUUUCUCUAAAACCAAAUUUCAGACAGGAAAAAACAAACCAAAACAAAACUAGAACAAUUCUAAACCAAAUGCCACCAUUUACAAAGGGGUGCGUAGAUAAUUGAAGAUGGGAGUAAGGUCCCCCACCCCACCCUAAUUUCAAUUAGGAAACAAAUAGUUGAAGAAUCCUCAACAUUGUAACAAAUUGCCACACAAGUUUGAAUGGAGAUAAUUGAAAAUUAGGGGCCAAAUAACAACUUCACUCAAACACUGGAUGAUUUGAAUCAUAGAAAUUAUUGCUUUCUCACACCAGUAAUGAUAAGUAGUAGCAACUAGUAAGUAUUCCAAUUGUCCCAUUUUAUGUAAUACACUUCCCUUAUCUAUUUAUCUAUUUGUCUAAAAGAGAGUGACACCUUUCUUUUUGGAUACUAUUUAAUCUUAGCAUCCCUAUGUUACCCUCAAUGAAGACAUAAAUUGUUGGGACUCUCACAACUACUCAUUUAAAAUGUAGCAUAUGGAAUUCACAUCACCAAUGUUGCUCGAGCUCUUCACUUUCAGUGCCGCACCAUGACAUGGGUGUCGGAACCGUACCCGAUCUGGUCAACCGAUUUUGGGUACUUUGACCAGAAUCGAUGGAGAAACUCCGAACAGAUUCAAUAAUUUCUCUAGUCAAAAUAAAAGCUAAGGUAAAAUUGAAAAAAAUGAAAUAUCUUGUAUAUAGAAACUUUUAUGUCACUCCUUUUCCUUUUAUCUCCUUCUAUGAUUCUCGUCUUGAACAGUAUUUUCUCCUCAAGUUUGCCUCAUCGUAUCUCAUAAUUUAGGUUUAUAACUCUACUAUUAGAUAUUUGAAUUAUUGUUAUCCGAAUCCCCACACGCGUAAUAGUACCUGGAUCCGUAUCUAUGAUUCUUAAAGUUUAGGUCAUGAUGAAUCCCACCUCCAGAGUUAAUAAACAAAAGUUAACUAAACUCUACAUGCACCACCUAUCCGUGCUCCCGGCAUCUCCUUCUCCAGUCCAAUAAAAUUAAUAAAAUUGGAAGUUAUUACUAACUUUUUGACAAGGAUUAUAUUUCCAAUGGAACAACAACAACCUAUCCAGUAUGAUCCCACAAGUGGGGUCUGGGGAGGAUAAAGUGUACCCAGACCUUACCCUACAUCGGAAAGAUAGAGAGGUUGCUUCCGACCCUCGGCUCAUGUAAAGCAUCUCAAAACAGUUAAAUUUGACUCAAUUGUGCGAGCAAGAGAAAUUCCAAACAAAAGAGAUCCUUGUUCAAAACCCAAAAUCAUGCUAAUGUACGAACUGAAUCAACUAAAUCUCCUCUCAAUAUGGUCAGAAUGAUACACAACAUAUCAAAAGAACAACUGCCCUUUUCUCAAUAGUGUUUUAUGCAAGCUUCACAAAACCUCCCAGUUACCCCUUUAAAAUAAAUAAAGAAGUAAAACUUCACAUGGCCGAAACUGAAACUCAACAACCUGAUGUCAGAUUAUGAAGUGAUGGCAUUACAACAAAUUAAGAAAAAAUCAACAAACUCCCCAUCCCCUGGGCACGCUGUGGUCAUACGCCCAAGUUCUCCUUUACCCAGAAAGAGUACAACAGCAAAAUACAAAAACUAACGCCAACAACGUAAUCCCAGAUGUACCAAAAUCUGUUAUUUUCUUGAUUCAAUGAGGCAAAAAAAGCAACCCAUCAACAUUCAAGUUAUUAAACAAAGAGAACCAUCCUUGUCGAAUGUUUAAAAAAUAACACAGGGAAAUAAAGCAGUAACUAUCCAAAUAAGAUCCAAAAUAGAGGAUAAAAGGAAUAUAAAUUUCUAACCCAUAAGUUCCUUCUCCGAUUUGUUCAAGCUUUUCAAAGCAUUCGAUACUUCUCGAACCCCAUAAUGGCGAUUCAUCAAGAUUCAGCUGACCAAAAGCAGCCACCGCCAUGUAUGAUGUCUGUACUUUCCUCUCUUCCUCCUCUGUGAUUGGCUAUUAAACAAACAGUGAUUGGUGUGGGGGCGUAGAGUUGAUACAGAGGAGGACCGCUAAUGGAGGCGGCUUCGGAUUACUUUGUAAACUACUCCAUCAACUUGUGGUUUUUUUUUUUUUCACAAAACUAUUGAACAAAAAUGGCGUUGUUUGUGUCCAAGAGAACUUACGAAGGGCUUUUUGUUAAUUUAACAUACAAUGAGGGAUUGUUUUGCCACUUGAAUUAGAUUUUGUAUUGUAAAAAAAUGCCUAAUACCGGUGAAACAUUUCAUAAUUAAGUUUGAAAUAAGAUUUAUAUUAUUAUUUGUUCAUGCUUGGACAGUAUAAUUUGUAUUUCAUCUUUAGAGUAGAAUAAAUUAGUCUAAAAAUUAUUAUAUAAUCUGCAUAACGCCUUAAAGUUCACAUAACUAUCUCAACUAAGAUUUGUACUCAAUAAGGUAUUUCAAUCUUACUAUAUACUCAUAUUGACAUAGUAGAAAUUAGCAACUGAACAAAAGCCACAUUUUUUACUUAAGCGGGUUGUGGGCAACGAAAUUUUAUUAAAUUAAAAUUCGUACGAAAUUCGAAUUAUAUUAAAUUCAAAAUAUAUUAGUCUCAAAUAAAUAUUGCAGAUUAAUAUAAUUGAAUUAAUUAUUUAUAUCCAAACAUGUAUGUAUUUAAUUAAAGUUCAAUUUUUAUUGGGCUAGCCCAUUAAUUUAGGCUACAGAUGAUGAGUCUACUUUGUUAAGCCCAAGAUAUUGUCAUAUUCUGAAGGCUCAAAUGAGCGCCACGGUCGAAUGACGUGGCAUGCCAAGUUAAGUGAAGGAGCCAAUAGGACCAAGCCACAUGUCAAAAUGAUGCAUCAGGUCUAGUGAAAUAAAAAACCCAUGAAAGACGGCAUGUUACUUGAAUUUGAUUGGUCAAAAGAAAUUCAUCUUUACCAUUACUCUCCCCUUUCCACAACUAUAAAUAAGGGUCUCACAAUUCAAAAAAAGAACCAAGAACUCUAACAAGAAACAAGAGAAAGCUCGUAGAUCAAACACCACAAUUUUUCUACAAAGCUCAAGCAUUCAAAUCUAGUUCAUCAAGGUUAAAGAUCAAGACGAUAAGAUUCAAGAACAAGCUAAAAAGCCCUUGAAUUCAAGUACAAGUCAAGAUCAAAUCCAAUCUUGAAGCCCCUGAAUUUAUAUUUGAAAAGGAGAAAUCAGCGGAUUCAUAGAUAUUGUAGCGUUCAUAUAUUGAAAUCAAUAAAAUGAUUGUUGCAAUACUUUUCUUCUCUCGAAUAUUUAUUUUUUUAUCUCAAAAAUUUUACUGUCCAAUAAAUUCUGGCACGCCCAGUGGAACGAUCUCUACCUCUCAUCUCAACUUUUCCAACAUCAAAGUUUAAGAACAAUAAAAUAACUUCCAAAAAGGUCAAUUUUCAAUCAAUUGCCUCCAAGGUUGUUGAUUCCAAAUUCUCUGCUGAAGUAGAAAGCAUCCUUGGUAUUAUUUUUGGGAGCUUUGGAGCUGUCACAAGGAACAAGAUGAACAUUCUAGGACAACAAAUACAUCAAGUGUUAUUUGCGGCAACUCCAAUCUUUGGAUCUUCAACCCCAAAAGGAGAAAGGGCCUGUGCAAAUGUUUUAGAAGAAGAAAGCAAUAUGGCAGAGUCACUUAAGAAGACUCUAGCUCUACUUGAGCACUCUAGUUCGAGAUACUUGGGCACAAAGAAUAUUAGUCAUUCAACUAUUGCAUCAUCUCCACUUACACCGCAUAAACUAAGAACUUCGAAGAUUAACUUAUGCGAUAAUCUGUGUUACUCUCCAACGUCUUCAGUGAUUAUGCAAGCCAUGGUGACUGAUGCAUCAUCUGUGGUAGAGCAGCUUGCAAACCUGACGAAGGUAAAGGUCUCACUAAGUAUGUGCAAAAUCAAAAUGCUCGGAUUGAUAAGUUGGCGGAUAGGAUGAAUGGCUUAGUAGACGGAGAGUCUAGCCAUGCACCGGGGCAAUCUCCAGGAGGUUGGUAAUGUUCACCUAUACCAUCUAAAGUGGUAGAGGACGAUCGUUGUCAAUAGCUUAACUUUCAUUGAGGUCGAAUUCAUGACGAGCGAGAUUUAGAUUUCGAGUCCUAUGGGUGUCAAAAUUACUAAAAAGAAACCCAAAGUGUACACGACAUAAAACACAUAAAUUAAAAUGGAGGGGGUUUAGUUUAUAAUAGGGUUGUCAAUAUCAAGUCAAGAAACACACUAUGGUAACACUUUUAUUUUAAAUUUAAUUUUUGUAGGAAUCUUAGGAUUAUGUCUACCUAAGGGCAAGUUGUGCCUGGGAUCAUGAUGGUUUGGUGUAAGUUCUAAUCGUUGAUGACAUGGUAAGCUAGGUUGAGAAUCCUUGAGGCUAGUUUGUCAACAAGGCCUUAAGGAUGUCACUCCUUAACUCUUUCGAGUACCUAACGAGUGUAUCAAUGAAAGCCACCCAAAACCUCAAUUAGGCAUCCUUAUCUCUGGGAAGAUACCCAUGACGUAACCUACUCUCCAUUUAUCCUUAUUUCUAAGAAGGCAAAACAUAGUAAGCUACGUGCUCAAUUGUCCACUAUUGCUUUGUCCCCCUAUAGCCCUCUUUCAAGUAUGAUAUGGGUUUCCCAAAGUUCACCCGCAUCCUUCUUUACAGAAUGAUAAGAGCUUUCAAGAGUCUGGGGUUUUCACUUAACAAAUCCAUUUUGGAUACUUGGGUUUUCAUCCACAAAUCCCAAUUAUUUACACCAAGCAAUAGUGAAAUCCAUAAUAAACAACUAAGAUUUACGCAAACACAUCAUCACCCGAACACAAAUGCACCUUAGUUUAACAUAAUCCCAAGACUAAAGGAUUUAGCUACCCAUGAAGAAAAGAGAGAAAAAUAUACCAUACGGGUUGUUCAAGGCAUCCAUUUCUCCAAAUCAAAUUACAAUUCUUGCCCAAUUUAGGGUUAAAAUUCAAAUUCCAAAAUGUUUCAAUAGUCUAGAAUGCCCAAAAGAGAAAGGAUUUAAGCCUAUAAGAGGAAUUGGGUUUAGCUGGAUGAAGUUACAAAACUGCCUUUAGGCAAAUUCCCGCUUAGCUGCGAUCGCAAAAGCUUGUUUGCAAUCACAGUUAUUGAGAUCGUGGUAAGGACACCGUGAUCGCAGCCUUUUGACCUAUUUGAUUGCCGCGAUCGCGGUAACUGAGGCUUAUUUUUACUUCAGGUUUUGUAGCUGCACUUCUUUCUCUUUUUUGGUCUCUCUCAAAUCCAUAUCUUUUAUUCUCCUAAUCUGUAUACCUGCAAAAUGUGGAAAUUAGUGCAUUUAAUAACUAAUUUAUCUCACUUAUACAUUUGAAUCAUAGUAGUAUGCACGAUUGUUGAGUAUAAUUGAGUGGUAAAUUCACCACUCAUCAAAGGUCAUGAGACAGAACAUCUUGAAAAACAAACGCCACCAGCUAAGAAGGUAUAAGUUUCUUCUGAGGAAAUGAUCCCAAUUGAUCUGUUGAAAGAGUUUAUUGAAGAAACCCUCAAAGAUAAGUAUGAUAUUGUCACUAAGUUGAUAUUGUCACUAAGUUUUUCUUGACAUACUCCAAGCCUUACACUACAAGAAUUGAUAGCCUCAAAAUGCCUCUCGAUUAUCAACCCCCUAAAUUUCAACAAUUUGAGGGAAACCAGAACCUAAAAUAAUAUGUUGUAUACUUUGUUGAGACAUGUAAUAAUGCUGGAACUUACGAUGACUAUCUUAUCAAACAAUUUGUUUGUUCCCUAAAGGAAAACACCUUCGAUUGGUAUAUGGACCUUGAGCCUAACUCUAUCAAUAGAUGGGAGAAAUUAGAGCAUGAAUUCUUGAAUCUCUUUUAUAGCACAAGGUGUACAGUGAGCAUAAUAGAGCUUACAAAUACUUGACAAAGAAAGGAUGAGCCAGUCAUUGCCUUUAUUAAUCGGUGGAGAAAUGCAAGUCUAAACUGCAAAGACAGGCUUAGUGAAACUUCUGCAAUAAAGAUGUGCAUCCAACGAAUGCACUGGAAACCUCUCUAUAUCUUGUAAGGCAUUAAGCCAAAAUCCUUCGAAGAGCUAGUUACUCGUGCUCACGAUAUGGAGUUGAGCAUGU